GUCUAAGGAAAGUUAAGUUUGAAAAGUUAAAAUUUUAACUUAUUUAAAAUAAAGAAUUAGAUUAUUUACGGAUGCAGCGUAAACAUGAAGUUAUGCACAUUCAAUCAUUAAUGCACACAUUAUGAAUUAUUGAGAAUAAUAGUCAAGUUUUUUUUGAUUAUUUUGAAAAAUCAUAAUGUGUUAACUUUAAUGAAUAUAUGUAAACUUUAUAUUUACACUACAUGCAUAUAUAAAAUUAGUCUCGUAAAUAAAAGGAUCCCCAAUGUGCAUUUUGGAGGUUGAUUAAUUGAUACUAUUGAUACAAGGCAUUUCAGUUAUUACCUUGGAAUAUCCUUGGUAUAAUUUGAUAGUCAUGAAUUUUUGUUAUUUUCCAAACGCGUAGUAAAGAACUGUAACUACGAGUAGUAUUUUGCUAAAGCUUAAGUUGUCCGAUAUAGAUUCCUUUGGAGAUUCGCCAUUGUUGUCCAUACCUACCAAAUGAAGAACAAGAGAUAGUAAGAUGUGGGUAACACUACAUGCGAGGUGUGGCUAUACACAAUGCGGGUUCCAAAAAUUUUGUUAAUGGGGUUAUGCAUUUAAAUUUUUUUGUCUAAUAGUGUUAAUGAGAUCAAAUAAUUUUUUUUUUAUGGGUUCAAUUGUUUAAAAAAUUAUAUAUAAAACACACACAAACAAAAAAGAUUAAAUAUUUUUCAAAGGCUAAUGGGUUCUGCUUCUAUCCCAUCAGCUGUAUGUGGGUCGCCCUGACUAUACACGGAUACAAAUACAAUUACUCUAAUAAGUUAUAAAAAUUUCCAAUUCUUCUCAACCGGUCCCUACCAUCCUUACACAAAACCAACCCAUGGGUUCAGACUUAAGAGGAUCCCGUGGGUGUGUAGGGUGACAAAACCAUAUGUAAAUUCUUAUAACCUACUUUGACCGCGGCACAAUCCACAUAUAUACAGCUUUGAAAAACAUAUAUAUGAUUAUUGGAAAAAUGAAAAUGUUCCAAUAUUAAAGCCUUUAAUUUCUUAUUUAAAUUAAAAACAAUUCAAACAUAAGUUCAGUUAUACCCAACAUCCUUGUUGAGAGCUUGUAAAGGGGACCAAACACAGAUCUAAUUCUUCCCAAAUGUGUACUCUAAGCCCAGUUUGGAUAAAACGAGAUUUUUGGAUUAUAUUUUUUGGUGAAUAUUUUCAUUUUUUUUUAGUUCUUUUUUAGUACGGAAAAUUAAAAUAAUUUUGGUAAUGUUUGAUUUAUUUGGAUUUAAGUGUUUUUUUGUAUAAAAUUAUUUUUUUAUUUUUUGAUUACUCAUAAUCAAGAUGAACUAGAAAAUAAAAAAUUUAACCGAUGACAAAAAAAAGUCAUUAAAAGUGUCAAUAUUUUAAAAAAAGGAUUGAUUUUUACUCUCCUUUUCUUCCAGUGCACUAAGUUUUAGUUUUUAUUAUGUAAAUUCAUCUUAAAUUACCCUUUUGUUUAUAUUUUUAAAAUAUUUUUGUUCAAAAGUGUUUAACAACAUAGAAAGAAAUUUAGUAAUUUCACCCUAGGUAACAAACAAAAGAAGAGGGGUACAAAUAAUUUAAAAAAAAGGGAGUGUCAAAAUCACUGUUUGUAGAAGAAAAACUAAUUUUAUUUCAAAUUAGGCCUAGAUGAAGCAACAAUAUUCAUUAUGACUUAGAGCACUGAUACUUAACCCCAUAUUAUUCCAUCAUGCGUUGUCAAUCGACUCCACCGAAAAAAACAAAAGGACCAACUAAGAAAAAUUAUUUAGUGGUCCACGAUCAACGCGUUAAUGGAGGAUAACACUUAUGAUAGGCCUCACAUGAAAAAGCGGAAGUAAGUUCCUCAUUGUAUACUUUUGCAAGAUGGAUCGACAAGAAAGCAUGAAGACCCUAUAUGUGAUAACACUUAUGAUAGUAGGCCCUACCAUUAAAAAGCGGGGUUAAUUAAGUCCUCAUUGUAUACUUUUGCAGGACGGAUGCGUCGACAAGUAAGCCAUGAGACCCAUACUAAUCUUGUGACCCGAUCGUAAAUGGUAGGACCAAAAACUGUCAUGUCCUAUUAUGGUUCAGCGGAGUUUUUUGGGCCUCCAAAGCAGAGUUUUCGGCCUCCAUCCCAGAAGUUUGGCGAACGAAAGGGGCCAAACCACAAUUAAAGAGCAAGUGCCGUCAUAUGAGGAUUGCUUCUCUUUUCUCUUGUUGAAUAGUAGUUACCGCCACCACUUUGUACAAUUCAAUCACCAUUCGUUCCAGCUCAACAACUACUUUACUACAAUGACAGAAAAAAUGGCAACUACAGAUAUACGAAAAAACAAGCUUCGAGAAAGCCAGAAAAAGAAAAGUCGCAUAACGCAGCAAAACAAACGAGACAAUUGAAGAAAGUCGUCAUUAUGAUGACUAUAGGCAAUCUUUGAUCUUAAACAUACAGAUACAGAUAUUUGCUACUGCAGAUUGGAAACAAGGAAAACCAAAUAGAAUCCACUGUAAAAUCAUGGCCCAACUGAAGACGGAGCGAAGAAAUAUCACAUUUCUGUUCAGACAAUGCGAGAGACGGUUUAUAUGAACACAAAAUAACUAUCAACCAAUAGCUACGUGUAUCUACAUGAAUAGAUCCUAGUCUUCUAGUGUCUUUUCCUAACAUUUUACAUGGUUUUCCCCAAAAGCUCGGGCCCUCACAAGCUGCUAACAAGGGAUUUGCUGGAGUCCUGAUGAAUACAGUGAAAAAAAAAAAAAAGGUAGAAAGGAUUGGCGGUAAAGGGUUUCAGAACAAAAACCCAGACCUGACCACGUAUUUCGUGUUAUUACAGCAGCAGAUGGGCGCAGUUCGUUCUAUAUAGAUAGUUCUUUCCACCCAAAUCCGACCCCAUUUCCUUGAGGCCUUCAAGCCAGUGAAAAUCGUUCUAUUCUGCACAAGUAUUUAACCUACGGUGCCAUCUUCCUAUUGGCAUGAAAGGUGGCCUUGUAGAAUAGUUGUUGCUAUUGAACGGCCUUGGUCGGAAAUUUAUUCACUUGAUAAGAGAGAGAUCAUCAGAAUUUCCCAGUCUUUGUGCACCAGCAGUAGGAGGAGGAUCGUGACAUUACCCACAAACAGAGCAAGGAUCGGUUCCAUACUUUCUUGCCUUCCAAUGCACCACCCCACCGGGGAACAACCAUGUCUCGACCGCGAAACAAAAGUUCCGAAUCAAUUUGUCGAGGACAGGGUCAUCGUGGUUGGAACUUCAUUGACGAACGGGGCUUGCUGUCAACAUCCUUGGACAUGUCAUCAAUGGUGAGGUAGUGCGGAUGCUGGAUGCCUAGGAGGGUUGUCCCAGGAUAUGAAGUGCAGGUCACUGUUCACCGGUGGAUUAUCGAGAAUUCUGCAGAUUGGCAGAUACAGUGUUGUGGUGGAAAAUAGGGGAUAGGAAAUAGCAUUCGGGGAGGAGAGGAAAGAGGAGAGAAUUUGCAUAGUACAUGAGGGAACGUUCGAGGUGGGUUAAGUUGUCCCAUCCCCAAUGCAAAAAUCAACAAAUGAUCGAGAGAAAGUGCCAUCCAAGCAGAACCGACAAGUAAAGAAGAAAAUUUAGAUUCAGUAACCUAGACUUCAAAUAGCGAUUGCUUUUUAAACAAUAUGGAGUUACAAUCCCAAGUACUACAAGAAUUUUUAACAGAACUGCCAACCAGGUGUAAAAAAAAUCCAAGCAUGGACAUGAAUUUUCGUGUAUUCUUCACCUAGCAUCGAAUUAUUUGCCAGUAUCUGGUGAAAAAAACUUAAAAGAGUUCAAGAAUCUUUUCAACUUUAUGUCAUAUUCAGUUGAAAAUCAUACACAUCUCAAGAAGAAACUGAGAGAGAGAAAAAGAGGGCUUAUAAUCAACAUAAUGAUAUUGGGAAAUUCUUGCUCUGAAUUCACCGAAUUAACCAAGCAUGGAGAGACAAAGACAAGUGAGCAAGGUGAACUCUUUCCCAAUCCUUCGAUGCCUUAGUCUUAUACUGUAGAAUGACCAAUCAUAAUAACAUAAUACCUUUUAACAGUGAGGUAUGGUCUAGUUACCUGGAAUAUGGAACGUUCCGGUACAAGGAUAGGGACAUAAAAUGCCGUACGCCAGUCUUAAUUGUAGCUAUUGAUAGGGGUAGGAUAUAUAUAGGUUAUGCCAUUAGAAUAUACAUUUCCAAGCAAUAAAAUCUAAUAGAACCAUCGUAAGUUGUGUGAAUUAUCCAUGCAAACAAUAUAUUUUAGGAAUGCCGACUGACAUAACCAAAUUUUCACACUUUACCAUUCUAUGACUUGUUUUUUUUAUUCAAUGAAAAAUAUUUUUGAAAUAAGAAUGAAAAUUUCGGGAUCACUAAAUUCACCGUUUCAUAAUGGAAUUGUACCAUAUUUCGGAUCCGCGUUCCAAUUCGUAGUUCGCUACGGUAUUGGCUAUUCCUCGUAACUCAUGUAUGGUUCAUAUAGCAGUCACUAGCAUUAACACACCUCAAUAAAAAAAAAUAAAAAAAAAAGGAAUCUUUAGGUUUCAUAGGUAAGGCAUCGUUUUUGAUAGGCUCUCUUUCUGUAAAGUUUGCACCCCCUUCUGGGGCUUCGCUAUUAUAUACAUGCACAUUCUAGGGGGAAAAAGGGUUCUCUAAUAUUACAGAUCAUCUUCUCUAUUAUAUUCAUACACACUUCUAGGGGGAAAACGGUUCUCUAAUAUUUUACAGAUCAUCUGGUCACGUAUUAAUGCAACAUCAUAAAGUUUGGCAAAACGAUAUCUUAACUCAGAAAAAUGUAAGAGUACACAUUAGAGGCCAAUCUAAGGUUGAAAUCAUAUAGGUACAGUUUGGAUAAGUUAAUCACGAUUCUAAACUCUACAAACUUGAAAUUUGCAAAUUAAGUCUACAAGUUGAGCUGCUUACGUUUCUAAAAACACCACCAGAUUCUCGACUUAAAACAAUCUCAAUGAAUGCCUGACAUUAGGGUUUCUAAAACAAGCAGUCUGCUAUACUCUAAAAUAAGCACUUUCCCCAGUUACGUACUUCGAUUGAAGGCAUGUGUUUGAUAAAGAAAAAAGAAAGGAACAAAGAAAGAUGCCAAAAAAAGUAAAAGCAAAUACAACUACAAUCACACAGAUCAAAAGUUUCUCCUCUACUUAAUCCAAGUUUCUCCUCUACAUAUCCAAAUGUGUAGAAGAAGAAACUUCCUUAUCCCAGAAGCUUAGAAGUCCUGAAAGCAACAUUGUUUGCCUUUUUUUUUUUUUUUUUUUGCCAAGUGUGUAAAAGGAAACCUCAUUCUUCCCUCCCUCUGGUCUGGAAUUGCUAGUCUCUCAGGUUCCUUACUGAAAUAUCAUACAUCAUCAGUUAUACGGAACAGGGUAGUGGUACAUAGAACCACGGAGUUUCUUCUUCGAGAAAGUGCCUCUCGAAGUACAUUUCAAUUCCACAGAUGACAAGAAUGUUAACACAUGAAAAGAAGACAUCAUCAUUUGUCGUCAUCAAAUUGGUUACAAUUUGGAGGAGAGAAACUCCCUCACCAUAUAAUUGAUUGGGUUUUUAUUGUAGAGAGAAAUAGCCCUUGCUUACAAGCUACAUAAAGAAUAAUGGAAUAAUAGCAUUUCCAUUAGCUUUCCACAACUUCAAUUCACCAACAUACUUAGGGGUGAUAUACAACAAGUUGCUUGGGCUUGACUCAUGUGUUGACUCGUUAAAAGCUUGUUGAGGAUGGAUUGUUAUUUAAAACAAAUCAAGCUGCCAUAUUUUGAAAGCUUGUUAACAAUUUUCAACCCAAGCUUAAAUAAUUUUACUGUGCGGGCGCUCGAUACCUAUAAAUUGUAAAAGUCCAGCUACUUGAGCUUGGUUCAUGAUCGUGUGGAAUAUUGAUCGUUGAGCUCGGUUCGCUUUAUAAACAAGCCAAUUCAUAACCUCUUUGUAAAGAUCGUUAGGUUUUCCUCUAUCCCCCUAAACAGUAUCAUAUCAAUCAUUUCUUGGACAUAGUGUGAUUAGAUUAAAAAAACAAAAAUAGUAACUAACAAAUUCCAUUUAGAUAGAUAAACCAAGUGGGCAACCAAAAGACAAUAAGAUAGUUAAUCAGAGAAGGAAUGUGAGUAAAAGAAUGCCAAAGUGAACCUGUGAAAGCUUGAAAAAGCUGUAGGCACACUUCUUCGCUGCGUAAUCCAGAAAACAUCAGCUUUCUCGUUGCCAUGUACAACCCCCGGUCGAUAAUUAUCGUUUUGCCCGCGACACCUACAUAUUUACAAGUCCAAUUCAAUCCUGAUGUAUGUCUAAGCUACUUACUAAAAUUAGUACUAAAAGAGUUUCUGAAAAUGAACAAAUUCGCCUCCUCUUUCCACCCAAUAUCACUUGUAAUGAGCGAUGUAAUUUAAGAUCCGCGGCAGAAACAAAAGGUGAAGCCGAUCUGAAUCAAACCGAAUCAAAACCCUAAUCAUUUUAACCAAGCAAAGUACAGAACAUUCGAUUAAUCAAAGCUAAAGAAGUAAAUCGAAUACAAAAUCCACUCACCAUCUUGAGUGACAAGUGGAUAAUCCGAAGCACGGAGAUUGAUAAACCAUCCCACUCCCCCACCUCCCUUCAACAAUCGCCGCGCGUGCAGCGUAUUCGCUACCAUCGUCGUGAGUAGGGGCGGGGCCCCCGUAGGUCCCAAAUUCGCCUUCGCAAUCAUCACCACAUUGUGUUUGAAUUUGACAUGGUGGUAUUAGCGACGAAAUCUCUGCAGAUCGACUCGCUCCUCGGGUGGCUAGUCGGCGUCGAGGUGGACCACGUAGCGAUGUUUGGAUAUACAAGGGCCAGGAGCGUGCGCUUGAGCAUUUUGCCGUCGCCGGCAGAGCCGGAGAUGAGUAGGCCGAGGCGAGGCUGUAGCGGGGGAAGGCGGCGAACGGCGGGCGAUUGGGUAUUUGGAGCUUCGAUUCGACGAAGACGGACGGGGCGGCGCCGCUGCGGUAGAGGGGGAGGGAGUGGAGCCGUCCGGCUAAGGUUAGGGUUGUGAGAAUAAGAACGAGAGAGAGACUAUGUAGCCGAUUGCUAGUCGGAAGAGCCACUUUCGCUCCAUUGUUUGGGGGUGUCUUAGGUGUGUGUAGAUAGCUUUUUCAAUCUCUUCAGACUCUGUCUCUGUCUCUCUCUCUCUCUCUCUGUGUGUGUAUGCGUCUACAAGAGGAGGAGAGAGAUGAUUUGGGAUCAUUUUAGAGAUAAUUAAACUGGUGCUGCUCUCUCUCUCCUCUCUCUCUCUCCCUUUCCCUCUCUCAUUCUGGUGCGUAAUUUCUGUGUAUCACUUUCUCUAUCUAUAUGUAUAUGUCUCUCCCUCAUCUCUCUACAUAGUAGGAGACGGAGUAGUUUGGGGGGAAGUAGUCUUCUGGAGGUGGGUUCGUGGAUUUGUUGUAGCUGGUGGAGAGACGGGACGACGCUAUUUGCAGUUUUUUACUUUGUUCUCUACACCUAUCCGUAAACAACAGUUUUUUUACCCCAAACAUUUUCCUAAUUCCUAUUUUGGGCCAUCGAAUUUUAAUUCAUAGUCGAACCCUAAUUAUCUUUUCUUGUGUUCAAAGUUAAAAUAUAAUUUUUUAUCUAAUUUAAAAAUAAUCUACUAAAGACAAAAAAAUGGAUCAAUUAUUCAGUAAGAUACUUUUAUUUUGUUCGGUGAAAAAACAUCGAAUUAGAUUAAUCUUUUACAUUUCAGACUCAUCUAAUUAUAAAUAUUAGAUAUAAUUUUGAUUAUAAAUAUGGCACUAAAAAAUACAAAAUUCCAAACUAAAUCACCUAAAUUUUUUUAGAAAAUGUUUGACCAAAUUAUAAUCCUAAAGAUGGACCGAUGAUUGAAGAUUUGGGGAUUAUCACUAAUAGACAGGUGCGAUAACACUUAUUAAUAAAUUCUCUCUUUUCUUUAGUUUGAGUGGGUAACAAUACUGAUGAAAAUCACCACGUGCUGACUUAAGGUUCCACCUCACUACCACACCACAACAAGUCCAUACUUAGAUUCGAUGACAUAGGCGGGAAACUACAUGGAAAUUUCCAUCAAUGGUUGUACAACAUAACGAAAAAAAUUACAAUUGAGUACUCAUUACAAAAAUUCAACUUUAAGGGCAAAGUGGAAGGUCCAAAACCUGAGGCACCAAAAGUAUGAAUUUGCACUAGUUUUUCUCAUGAGAAAUAAACAUGGCUAUGUGAAUCGGACGGUCAAGAUGCAAGUCAUUUUUUUCGUAAGCUAAGAUUGGAAGUCCUUUGGAUCCCAUUGAUCUUACUUUGCUAAGAUCGUUGUUGGCCGUUGGAUCAUCAACGAUUUACAAAGGUCCGAGUCUCGGUGGGACCUUGAGAGCAGCUUGUAGAAUAAACUGACAGACAAUAAGUCAAAAAUGCCAUUCUGAUGAAUGUAAGACCAGGAUUGGUAUUCUAGAUGAGGGCACGGGUCCGAGUCACCUCAGAUUAGUACCGAAUGUAUGUAGAUCAUCCAUAUAAAAAAUUAAUUAUAAAAAAAAUUAUAAACACUUGAAUACUAUAUUUAAUAAAAUAAAAUAAGGACGAUUAAGUGUAUAAUUCGAAACAUCAUUCAUUUAUUAAAAUAAAAUGCUAUUUAUCUUAAGAUAUAGAUAUUGUGUGAAUAACGAUAUAUAGAGGAAUACAAGAUGAACUGUACAAAUAAUCGAGUAUGAGCUGCAGGUGGGCGGAGCCCACAAGAAGAGUUUGGAGAGGUAUGGAGGUGAGCGGACUCAAGCCAUGAGACUAUCUGACGGUUAGUUUUCAAAUUAAUUUUGCAUUAUGCUGUUUCAUAAAUUAUUUCAAAAUUAUUUUAGAGAAAAUAUUAUUGUUUUCAAUUAUUAGUUUUUUAACUGAAAAUUAUUUUUUGAGAAUUUAAAAUAAACUUUGUUCAGAUUUUUUCAGAAUGAGUUAUUUUUUAGAAAUUUUAGCAAAUAAUUUCGAAAAAAACUAUCCACCAAAAGUAUUUUCUAAAAACUAUUUUGCGCAAUUUGAUCUGAACUAAACUAUUAAUUUUUUUUAGUCUUGUUUUCAAAUUUCAAUAUUUUUUUUAAUUGUUAUGCUUUAUUAAAUAGAGGUAUCAUGUCCCAUUUCCCUCUUUAUGAUCUAUAGAUUUUUUAGUAGACAUUGAAAAUGGAGAUAUUAUACUUAUUAUCAUCAAUUGAAAUAAUAAGUUUUAGUAAAGACAUAAUUUUUUCAUUGUUUUAGGGAUCAAAUGAUAACGUAUGAUAGCAACAUUUAUAGUGCCUCCAAUCCAAAUUAUAUAUAUCACAGACGUCCUAAGUCAAAAAUAGUGGAUAUAUAAUAAAAAAUUUAUACAUAAUUUUUAUACAGAAUGUGUGUGCUUUUCUUUUAAAUAAAACACUCAUUAAAAUAUAUAUUAUUCUAUAAAAGGGGACCAUUAACCUGUCGCUUCUUGUGGUGACUUAUGCAUAAAUUUAAAUGUUAUAUAAAAAUAUCAUUUUUAGUAAGAAAUCAGAAUGUUAAAUCAUUGGAUGUCAACUGCUACAAAAUGGGUAGUACCAAAAUGGGUUAUACCUAACAAUUAAGGUUUAUACCUAACGAUUAAGGGGCAACUAAAAGUGGACCCUCCAACCUCAAUGAUGUUCACCACCAACCAAACCAAUGCAAUCAGUCAUUAAUAUGUAAAUAUUAUAUCUAUAUAUUAUACUAUACUCCUUAUCUCUACACCCUAAUAUGCUUGUGUGCAUGGGUAUUAUGGAAAAAAAUAGUAACUUUUUAAAUUAUUUAUCAGAGUGUAACAACCUAAAAAACAGAUAAGAUAUAAAAAUCAGAUAAAAGAUACAUUGCAUACAUAUACAAAAAGUACAUGCUACAAAUAAAAAAUAAAUUAAAAAAUAUAAUAAUUUUAAAAAAAAAAUAUUGGUAGUUGGGAUAAAUGUUCUAGUAUGGGAUAAAGUGAGGAAGAAAGAAACGUGUUUUUAAUUUAUUUUUUAUGAGUCUCACUAAAAAACUGAUUCAAGGGUAAAAUAUAUGAUCAGCUUUAGAGAUUUUUUUGUCCAUGGAUCAAAACUUAUAUAAGCCAUACAUUUCGAGAAGAAGGAAGUGAUAAGUUUUUUUUAAAAAAAAUAAGACAGUGAGUAAAUCUCAGUCGUUGGAUUAACUAAAUGGAUUUCAACCGUAGAUAAUUGAAGAAAGUUUUGAAAUUCAAAAUAGUUUGUGUUUAUAUUAUAUAAUACUAAUAAUAAUAAUAAUAAUAAUAAUAAUAAAUUAGUAAGAUGUGACUAUAUUAUGAUCCUAGCGUUUGAAAUCAAGAGCCCCACCAACAUGUUUUAAUAGAAAAAUGUCAUUACCCCCCCAAUCAUAUAGGGAAGUAUUUGAACAUAAAGUUUUCAAAAAAGAAAUAGUUAUAUUAUAGUUUUAAAAUUUCUUAAAUGUACUUUCUAUUGUCUUUAUUAUGCUAAAUACUCAAAUACUCUCUGAUAUGGGUUAAACAUUGAGUUUAAAAGUAAUUAACAAUCCAAAUUCAAGGAUAUUUUUGAAUUUUAUACAUCAUAUAAAAACAGAAUGUAUUUAAAUAAAAAAAAGUAGAAAAUCAUUAUCAAUUUAAUAAAUAUACCUUUGUCCCCUUCCAUAUUAGUUAGGAAGGGUGUCUGAAACUAGUGCAAUUUUGAUAUAGCUUAAUUAAAUAGACAGAAUGAAAUAAAAGCAUAAUGAAACAAAAACAUAAAAGCCUAAUCAUGCUCCUCUUUCUUAAUUCAUUAGCCUUUUUGGGAUGACAAACCCUCCGUACCCAUAAACCCAUCUCUUCUUGUACUAACCGGCCAAGCCAUCCAACCUCCUAAAUUUUAUAUAUGAAUUUUAUUUAUUUAAAAAAAUUAAUUUAUUGAACAUCUAUAACAAAUGCAUGACAAAUCGGGUAUUUUUAAAGAAAUUUCAUAAAUAGAAAGUUUAAUUGUAGAAGGAAAAACUCACAUCCAUCAUUUUUGUUAAAAAACAUAAGAUUUAUUCAUGCGUUCAAAGAUGUCUGAAUCUAAUAAAUUUUGCACGAUACUCUUUUUAUGCUAGGCUUAUACUUAGAUGAACGAUUUGGGAUCCUUAGCAGGAAUUACGGUGGUGGGGACACACUAAGAGAUAUGGAGAGUUGAAUUUUGGGGGGCUCUCUAUUGUAUUUUUUUAAGCCCAGUUUGCAGUACUGUGUUUUUGAAUUUCUUUGUGUUUCAAAUUUUUGUUAUCUCGUGAAUCUUUUUUUUCGUCAUUCGAUUAAAAUUUAUAUUUUUUUGGGACUUCUUUAACAAGAAAGCGUAGUUCGAAAAUAUAAAAAAAAUUAUCGACUUUGAAAAAAGGUUCAUUAAUAGAUUUUAGGUGAUUUUUUAGGGAUAAAAAUAAGUUUAUUUUAUUUUUAUCUUUUGUGAACUUUUGCCGAAUUAGAGAAACUAUUUAGAUUUUGGGACUCCACCCAUCAAGAGAAAGCGAAAAGAUAUAAGAUUUUGAUCAACGGGGGCGAAAAUAAUUUACUAAAACAAAAUUAAAACUAAAAAUGAAAAAAUAAAUAGAAAAACAGGAGGCCUAACUAAAGCCUUAGGCUCCGUUUGGUAGUGAGCUUAAAGCCAGCUUUGUUAAGCUUGCUACAAAAAGGCUAGAAUUUUUUAAUUUUUUGUCUUUUGGGGUUACAGUUUACCUAAAACUAAGUCAAAAAACCAAAAUAAAAAAGCAAAAAAGCCAACUCUGAUUGGCUUUUUUGCUUAUUUUAAGCCAAAAGCCAGGAAAAAGCUGGUGGCCAAACGGCCCUUAUGCUCGUAAUUGGGUUCCGAGGGGGCGGGCGCUGGGGGGUGAUCAACCACCACUCACAGUCUGUAAGCCCACGGGCUGCUAUAGAUAAACUGACCAAACGUCAGUAAAUGUAAUACCUAAGGCAUAUUUGGUCUGACGGAUAUGGAGGCGGAUUAAUUUAAUACCCCCGAUAUUAUUCUCACACAGCAACUGUGACAAUGGAGUGGAUUAAUUUUUUGGUGGCUAGACCUUAACUAAAAGUUAUCCGGGAGACGUGGGUGCGGAGGUGGGGAUAAGAAACAAAUAUAUAAAGACAAACAAAGUGUAAUAAUUUUUUUUAUAUUAUAAAUAGAAAAAUAAAAUAUAUAUUUUUAAUAUUUAAAUAUUUUAUAUUUUAUUUCCCUCUAUAUUUUCUUCUUAUCUCCCAUUCUUAUCUACCAAUUUUAAAAGUAGCCGUUAAAAGAUUAUUUUCCGUGUUUCCCUCCCGAUGUGCGGGUGCCCUGCCAAUGAGCCCUAACUGGUACUACUGCAUACUCAUUUGAUUUGUAAGAAAGGGCCUUUCAUAAAACAAUGAUAUAAAGUUCUUGGGUGCGCGUGCAAGAGAUAUCGCACCAGUGGUCUAGUUGUUAGAAAGUAACCCUGCACGGUACGACCCGGGUUCGAUUCCCGGCGUGGUGGCACUGUGAAAAUCUUUUCAUCAUACCUUUUUUCGCUAGACCAAUUGUUUUGACGAAGUUAAGACCCGACCUCUAUAAAUGACUAAAACCUCUAUCUCCCACCCCCCUUCCUUUCCUCUCGUUUGUGCGUCUGUGAGAUCACCCCGCAGCUAGCCAAGCUCCAUUGCCAUCACCGCCAUUGCUACAAAACACCGUGUACCCCUUUGUCUCAUCCAAAGGAACAUCUCCUCCCCAUCCUCACCUACACAACGUCCCUCACCCACCAGGCAACCCAUCAACAACCCUCACAAAUACGGCGGCGCGCUGCGUUGGUUGAGAAUAGAAGGGAUGUUGGUUGACUGGAGGUAGAGAAGUUGUUGUGGUGCUGGUCGAUUCUGCAAUGCUAGUAGCAGGUUCAAUAGUAUAUAUCCAGUAAUGUUGGUAUUCGAUUGAUGAUUUGGGCAUCAUUAGGGUAUGAUUGGUUAGCCCUUCUAUAUGUCCCUCCUUCUCUCUAUCUACAAUUUGAUGUUUGGACCUCAAUUUGGGUUUGAUUGGUUUAAACCCUCUAUAUUCUCUGCCUCCCUCUUCUCCUUUCUUUCUCCUAAACAAUUCAUGAUUUUUCAAUCGAUUAGGUUUUGAUUGGUUUAUCCCUUCGAUUGAUGAUAAUUUCAUUCUAUAUUUGGGCAUCAAUUCAGGUUUAUUUUGAUUAGAGCAAGUGAUAGGUAUCAUCAUCUAAAGUGAGUGUGUCGAAGACACACUCAUUUUGGCUCUCUCACAAAAUAAGUAGAACCCGCUCUAAUUAGAGUUUUCACGUUUUCUAAAAUUCUAAUUAGAACAUGUCCCACUUAUUUGUGGAGGCAAAAAUGAGGUAUCUAUAUACACUCACUUUUGGGUGUUUACUCAAUCAUAUCAGGGGCAUACUAGUCAUUUCACUUGCUAGGUUAACCUCUGGUAUGAAUCCUUUAGAGUAAAGAGAGAGAGUUUGCAACCCUUUUCUUAUCCUUAACGGCGUUCGCGUUCGCAAUUUGACAUGGACUUUCUUCUGUGGAUCUCGUCAAACCUCAAUUUUCAAAUUACUGGUAUGAAUCCUAUGAUUAGUGGUUUCGACUAAUAUCAAUCUACUAUGAUAUUCCUUUCUGUUUACUGUUGAAUUCCUAUAAUUGUUGAGAAAUUGGUGAAGCAAUAGCCUAUAUGAUUCUGCAGGAAAAAUCAUUAUCAGGUUCACAAUUUUCAACCCUACCUGAAGAUUGUUCAACUUGGGAGGAAGAGAAGGAGUAAAAAUAAAAGUAAACAAAAAAAAUCAUGUUACGUUUCUCUCUUUCUAGCUCUCAGGCUCAGUUUGGUAAAUGUUACAACCUAAGUUUUUUUUAAAUUUAUUAUCAAAAAAGUUAAGAAUUUUUACUUUUUUGCUUUUUUUGCUUUACUUUAGCUAACUAGAAAAAAGCAAAAUUGAAAGCAAAAAAAGCAAUUCUAUUAUUUUUUGGCUUAUUUUAAAGCAAAAAACCCUAAAAAAACUGUAUCAGAAAAAAAAAACAGAACCUUCAAUCAACCAUAGGGUCAUGUUUAUUUUGGAGAUUAAAUUUGCCGAAUUAGAAAUUCAUUGAAUUUAAGGUUGUAUAACAAUUCAUCGAAUUAGUUUUAUGUGACUUUAAUAUGUACUUGUUUUUUUACAAUUUAUAUGAUUGUUGGAUUAAAUAUUUUUUUUAUUGUUCAUUAUUGCUCUUACAUCAUAAUUUUUAACUAAAUAAAAAGUCAGGUACUCCAUAAAUAAAAAAAAAAUCAAUUCUUAACUAGACAGUCAUAUCAUAAAUAAACAACAAUAAUAACAUCCAAAUAAAAAUACUAUAUCACUUUCAAUUAUCGCAAGUUAUAAAACUAGAAUCGUUACAUACUACUAGAGAGAGAAAUUAUAAAAUAUAUAAUUAGUCGAAUAAGAAACCCCAUUAACAGACAAAAUUAGUCACCAAGUAAAAACAUAUGGGGUUAUAAAAGAUUCUAAUACCAUAAUUUAUAUAAUAGGGUCUAAUUGAACAAUAUUCUAUGUUGUAUUUACUUAUGGUAUUAUAGUAAUUUAGGGCAAUUCCAUACUUACUGGAUGUAAUAAUGGGGGAGGUUUAUUACAAAUUUCAUCCAAUUUAGUGGAUUACAAAGUCUCGAAUUACAUAUUACAACCUCAGAGAAAGUCAAUAAAUAUUAUAUUAAUUUCCAACAUAAUUUGUAUUUCAAUUCAAAUUCUUAUCUGAAAACAAUCAUGAUCGGCCCAAACUUGAAUAUUUGAAGUAAGUUUCACCAUAAUAGUGUGAAGAUAAGACUUUCAUGGGCCGGGCCCCAUUCUGAUUUUAUUCAUAUCGGGUGGGGCCUUACGUGGUGGCACCAGUACUUCAAUCCAGUUGGUUUAUUUUCUUAAGAGUCCACUCUUUUGUUUGUGAAGAGAUAUACUAGUUUUCGAGCGGGCCUCUUGAUGGCCCAAUGGAUCAAUCCAUUCCAAUCUCAACAGACUGCCCCUCUUCUUUCAAAGCCUUUCAUACCAAAAUUAUGAGACACUACUAAGUACUUCCGAAUUUGCGAUUGGAGAAAACAAUUUUUGUAAUUUUAUUAGUUGCAAAUAUAGAACGGUGUGUAAAAAAAAAACUUGAUAAUAUGUUGACCUUAACACUCAAGUGAAUUAAAAUACUUGUUCGAUUGUAAUUGAAUUCUAAAAAUUUUUACUUUAGUAUCACGCAUAAUGUCGAGAAUUGUAACAAUGUAAACGAUAUUGUUAUUGGAUAGCGAAAAAAGAAGAGGAACUUUCAAUUGUGUUAACUCGUGUUGCCAUGGUAGCUAAUAGCUAAAAACGGUGGGAAACUUUUAGGAUUGUAAAUGUUAUUACAAUUCAAACAAAGACAUCUUCAAGAUCUUUACUCAAUUAUAUGUCACAUUUUUUAUAAGUUGUCACUUCUCCCACUAAAAUAACGCGUUCUUUAUGCUAACACGUCAUGAUAUGUAGGCUCUGGUGGGUAAUGAUGAAAAGUUAGUUUUUUUAAGUUUGCUAUUAAAAAUUAAAGGAUUUUUUUUGGUUUUUUGCUUUUCUGGCUUUACUUUUCGCUAUAAAAUGAAUAGAAAAAACACAAAAAAAAAACACUUGAUGAUGGGCUUUUUCUUAAAGCUUAAAAAGCUAGCCACCUAUCGAAAAGUGGUACUGAACGGACUCCUUAGUAGCUACAUGACACCCUGAAUUUGGGGUUUAAGAGUGCCCCAAAGACUCUAAACUAUGUAGUGCCAUUUUUGAUCUAUUUAUCAUAUAUGGUCAAUUGUCAUAAUCUGAACAAUUUAUUUGGUCGAGAUCGAUGAGGGAAUUGUAACUUGUACAAAAAAAUCAAAUUGAUCGGAUAUUAAUAGCUAUAUAAUCGAAUGACAUUGUCUUAUAGUUUAUUUGAAACUUCUAUUUUUCAUCAUUUUUUUAAAAUAAAUAGGUCCAGACUACGCGUUGCUACAUAAUGUUCGAUAAUAUAAUAUUUUUAUUAUAUAAUCUAUCAAAGAAGCUCUACAAAGUAUCCGUUUGGAAUCAUAAAAGAUAGAAUAGAUGUACUUUGAGGCCACCGCAGGUUGUAGUGAAUGCCAUCCCCAAAUGCAAAAUCAGGUGGCAUGAAAAUUUGGUGACUACUCGUAUAAAAUGUCGAUGCCAUGGGUGGCAAUCAUCGAAUGCAGAAUCAAUAUCUCAAGCUCCAAAAUGAUUUUCUUGGCAAAGGUUCAAUGAUCUCCAAUUGAACGUGGAAAUACAUAUGAAGUUGGAUGGUGCAAGUUGCAACAACAAUUUGUGCAACUACUCAUAUUACCAAAUCAACAUCAACCACAAGUUUUUGCAAUGGUGGACAUACAUAUCACAGAUUUAGGUAACGUUUAGCAAAUGUAAGCCCAUUCCAGCCUACAGGAUAAUCUGAUCAUUUCAGCCUCCGAAGAUUUACUGAGAUCAUGAUUUCAUACUAAAAAAUCAGGUUGAUUAUGGAUUAUAGUCACAAAAUUGGAUCAUUUUUAUAGGGAUACCAAGUAUAAUUUUAAACCAGACCGUCUAUUUUGUUUAAAAACAAAAUACAUUCGAAUCAUGUGAUUUUUGAUCCUGAGAUCAACUUGAUUUUAUAUGCAUAAAUAAUCUUCUAUGAAGGUGGUUUAUUAGAGUAACGGUGCAAAGUAAACUAAUCAGAUAGGGUCCAGGGUAAGUUCCACAAUUUUGCUAACUUACCGUAAAAUUCACAUUAUAUUUUUUAGAGAUAGAUUUAGACUUAGUAGUUAUAUGUAUAGUAUAAGACUAGAAUUUUGGCUAACAAAUACUAGUUUAUUUGCUUUAAAUUGUUACAUGGUAACUGAGAUAUGGUAUAAAAUGCGCGUGACUCAACGUAUAAUUUAUAGCCUAAUUUGGCUAAAAAAUUUUAUUUGUUGAGAUUUUUUAGUGUUUUUGUUCUUUUCAUCAUAAUGAAUUUUUUCAUUGUUGAUCAAAGCUGUAUAUACAACGAUUUUGCAGAUCAUCAUCGAUACACUAAAUUGUAAUAUUGUUAUUGCAUCCAUGUUUUGUUGAUCCAGAAACUAAUUUAUUAAUGUGCUAGAGCAUUUUAUACUUGAUUUUCUAAAAAGAGCGGGGGUGAAAUAGAAUUAAGUUUGUAAUUAAAUACUCUAACAAAAAGUGCUGGAGUCGCAAACCAAGGUUCAAUAAAAAUAAAAAAUAAAAAAUAAAAUCCGUUUAAAAAAACUUUAAAAAAACUAGGCCAAAUCAGGUCCUUAGAAGGGAUCGUAAGCCUAAAUAUAAAACGUAUAUUUAAUACGUGUAAAAUGUGUAUUAAUUUUUUUUUGACGUUUUGGUGUUUCUUAACCAUUGAGACUUCUACGUUUGUUAGCAUGUCUAGUGGAGUUUCCUUAUUUCAAUUCAUGAACAAAUUCUUCCUAAGACCAUGGCCGUAGUUACGAAAAUACUUGUCUUUCAAGAAAUUAGCUCAAUCUAGCUCAAAAAAAAAAGUUUAUAGUAAUAUUUGCUAAUGAUGAUCAUCGACUAAAACACGUUACAUUUAAUUUCUCAAGGAUUUAAAAGUGUUUGAUUAAGGCCAUGUUGAAAUAGGUUUUUCUAAAGAGUUUUUAACGCAUUUGAUUUUUUAUUUUUUUUUUGUUUUAAGUGGAAUUAUUUUUACCGUUUGAUCAUAAUUUUUAAUUUUUUUGUUUCUUUAACGAGAGAGAGAAAUCGAGAGAGAGGAGAAGAGAGAGAGAUGUUAAAAAUUUUAUUAAAAUUGAAAUAGUUUUUUAAAAAUUCUUUUAACUUAUUUGAUUUUUAAUUUUUUUGCGGUCUUUAAUGAAACUUUUUCACGGUUUGAUCAAAAUUUUAAACUUUUUUGCAUUUUUUUAACGAAAGAAAUCUGAGUAUAUAAAAUUUUAUUAAAAUUUAAAAAAAUCUAGUAAAGACAAAAAAACUAGCAAAUUGGUCGAGUAAAAAUAUUUUAUUUUUAUUUUUAGUAAAUUUUUUUUUAAAUAAGAUAAAAAAAUUUACAUUCUCAGAGUGGUCUCGUCAAUAGGAGACAGAAAAACAUGAAAUUCUAAUCAAACAUUAGAAAAAAUUUACUAAAAAUUAAAAAAUUUAAAAAUCAAAACAGCUAGGGCUUGUUUGUUAACUGUUUAAUUUUUGUUUUUCAGUUUAAUUUCUAUUUUUAAAAAUAAACGUAAACAAAAAUUUGUUUGUGUUGUAAAAAAUAAAUGAAAAUAAGGCUAAACAACUUCCACUAUUUUUAAAAAUAGUGAAAAUAAAAAAAAUUAUUUUUAUUUUAAUUUACAAAAUUUUUUUAUCCAAAUUUUUUAACCACCGCCACCACCACCUCCACCAGCCACCACCACCGCUGCCCACCAAACCAAAACCUCCACCUCCACUCCACCUCCCACCCCCCACCUCACCGAAGCCACAACCACCAUCUCCUCCUCCACCACUAAACCGCCAAAACUCCACGUCACCUUCCACCACCACCAUCGCCGCCUCCACAACUCUCUCCACCUCUACCGCCGACAACCACCACACACACCACCACCUACCACCUCCACUAUCCACCACUCACACCGCCGCCGCCGCCACAACCACCACCAUCUCUCUGCCCACCACCACCUCUACCCCAAAACACCACCACCACACACCACCCCAUCCACUCAACUCAAUCACACCACCUUCUCCUCACCAACACCCGCCACCACACCACAAACCACCACUUCCACUCCAUACCACCACAGCCGCCACACCACCACACCGACACCUCUUCAUUUUUCUAAUAAUAGUUUUAAAAAAAGGUGAACACAAAAUAUUUUUAUUUAAAUAGGUUUAAAAAUAGUAUUUAACAUUGGUGAACACCAAACAGAUUUUUGUAAUUUAUGUUUUACAAAAAAUUAAGUAAAACCAAAAUAAAAAGUUAAAUAAAUAUAACCCUUUUAAAAAAUAAAACGCGGACCCAAAGAUCCCUAGCAUGAGCCAGACUGAGCCCUAGCUACUACCCUUAACUAAUACAAUCGAAAACAUUCAACAGUGAACAAAAAUAAUUACUCAUGUUUGAUGUGAUGUGGGUGAGGUGUAUUAUUACUAUAUAUAUAUAAUAUUAUCAUGUCAAGUGUAGAUUAAGCAAAUGACAUAUAACAAUGUAUGGAUGGAAAUUAUGAGAAAAUCAGAAUCCAAGGCCUAGGUAAUGAUCUUAACGUCAAUAUACCCCAUUUUCGGCUCUCGCGAUUACGGCCUCCGUAUGAGGUUGGAGAAAUGUGAAUACCCCUUUUGGGUAGGAUGAGUUAAUCCAAAUCGAAUAUCUGAAACCCGAUUUGAACCCACCUAAACUCAAAAGUUAAUAAAUCUAUUAUUUUUUUUUUUUUCUUUUUUUUUUUUUUUUAUGUAAUCAUAUAUAUAUAUAAACACAAAUAGGAAUUAUGGUUAGAGCAUUUUCUAACAAUUACUGUUUAUUGGGUUCAUAAGUUAUCUUGAGAUUGAAAUUUAAUCUAUCAAUAAUGUUUUUAUUAAAUAUAAAUAUUUAUACCAUUUUGGAAUUUAUAGAGGCCUUCAUUUGGAUCAAAGAAUUACGGUUGAGAGCAAAAAAAAGGAAAUCACAAAUAAAAAAGGUUAAAGAACCAUAGAGUGAUUCAUUAACUUUCCUUUUCGUUCACAAUUUCAAAAUUUAAUGUGAACCAAAAUAGAUAAUGGGUUUUCCCCCAAUUCUUGAACAUUACGACUGCUAGUGCAUAUAAAAAAAAAUUGAGCCUAUUAGUCUUUUUUCAAUCAAUUUUAAGUUUAUUACCGAAAAAUACUAUCCUAUUAUUGCAAGAAAGUUAUUUGACACAUCGCAAGAAAAUUAUUUCCUAGUUAGGUAUAAAGUAUGCUGAAUGCACGUACUUGACAAAAAUGAUUUCAUUAAAGAUAUAUUAUGUAAGUAAUUGCCUAUACCAUUUAUCUCCAUAAUUGAAAUCGAAAACGAUAGGUAAUAUUCCACAAAAGAUUCUACAUCAACCAAAAAAUUAAUCUUCAUUAUUAUCGAAACUAGACAUGGAGGAUGCCGCGCUGGUGAGUAAUUAGAUGAAUAAUGACAUCUUAAUACAUGGUUUGAAUCUUGAUAAUUAGUACGAAAACCCUAGUCUUUUAUUUUGUUAAAUAAAUUAUUUUAAAAUUUAUUUUUUUUUAAUGGUCGUCGGAUAUUGCGGUCGAUCGCCCGUUUUUAAGCAUGCGAAAGAUUUCAUCUUUGACUCUACCCUCCAUUAGUUAUUCAAAAUUUUUUUGUGGCCCCCACCUGACUCCAAACUGAUAUUCGAACCAUUUAUCUCGGAUAGGCUUCACGAGUAAAAAUUAUCAUGCAAAUAAUAUGGAAAAAUAUUAUUUAUUUUUCUAGUUUUUCUAGAUGAGAAUAUCUUAGUUUUUUAUUUGUUCAAAUUUGAAUUUUUUUUGGUCUUUAGUACUUUUUGAUCAAACUUCAUCAAAGUUUCUUAUUUUUUUAAAUUUAUCUAUUUUAUAAGCACCUUAAAANNNNNNNNNNNNNNNNNNNNNNNNNNNNNNNNNNNNNNNNNNNNNNNNNNNNNNNNNNNNNNNNNNNNNNNNNNNNNNNNNNNNNNNNNNNNNNNNNNNNGAUUGAAAGAUUUUCUGUUUUGACUACAAUUUCCAGGCAAAGAUUUCUCUAUUUCAGUAUAUCAUUGCAGAUCUGCUCUUGAAGCUUUAAAGGUGUACAGUAUACUCACUAUGCCUUGCAAUGUUUUUUCUUAUCUUUGCACUCUAUUCGAUUGUCAAUUUCAUUCUCUAAUGCUGUACAGUAUACUCACUAUGCCUUGCAAUGUUUUUUCUUAUCUUUCCACUCUAUUCGAGUGUCCAUUUUCAUUCCUUCAUGCUGUGAUCUUUUCUUUUUUUGAAGCUAUCUGCAUAUCAAACUGCAAUAGAUAGAAAGAAGAAGAAACAUUGUCGCUUCCUUUAGGCUUAAAUAAUCGAUGUGAUUUUAGACAACUGAAAACCUCGAAAUAGGGAAUGUCUCUAUAUAUAUACUGAUGGAUGUUCAUUGUCUCUGCAGAGAUGAUAUAACUACCAAAUUAAUUUUUCAGCUGUAUCCUACAAGGUUGGUCUCACAUGUGAUACAAGGUUGGUCUCACGUGCUUAGACUGUGGUAUCCUACUUUCGUUAUCUGUUUUUCUUUGGCUUUAUUAACAUACGAAUGGGAACAACAAAUAAUUUCUGGAUGAAAGCAAAAAUAUUUUGUGGUUCUCAUCAUAUCAGCGUGUAAUCAUUGGACUUGUUUCCUUCUGAAUAUGAGGAGUUUGGGUAAGAUGUUUGAAGGAACAAGGUUACAUUGUUGUUGGAAUAUACUUCUAACACAGAAUCUUAGACCCCUAUAUAUUAACUUGUAUCUUACCUUAGCCACUUUAUAUGUUUUCAUUGUUUUGCGUUCAACAAAGCAAUGGAUAGAAUUUCAUUUUUCAUAUAUACUUUAUGGCAGCAGCAACAACAGAUAUGACCAUUAAGUUGCAUAUGGUGGCGUGUAGGGCAAAGCAAAAAAAGUGAACCCAACCACCCGAACUGAACCCAUUGGUUGGUUUCAAACAUUGGGUUGAUCGGUUCCGGUUGAUAUGUGAGCAAUUUUUGAUUGGUGGAUCAAUUUGUGGUUGAAAUAUUUUCAAUUUUGUCAAAACCAAACCAGAAAGAUUACUGAAGGUUACAUGUUGAGAGAUAAAAAUUCGAGUAGAGCAACCAACAAUCACAAUUGCUCAAAAAUCUAAUUUGGGCAACUGCCGCAAGAAAGCAAACGUUACCGGCCAGAGUGAGGCUCCUCAAAACCCCUCUGGCGUGUCGAUCAGGUCUUUUGAAGAGAAAAUAGAAAUCUAAAUCAAAUAUAGCUCUAGACAAAGGCACAAUUGGUAUUACACGUUUCUAGAGAUAGGAGAGCGACUUUUAUAGGUGGAUCUCAAUGGCGUAAGGAGAAGGUGAUACAAUUAUAGGACUCAACCGUGUAUAGAGAUAAUGGUGUAAUGGUCGGAGAUCGUGGGAGGAGAUCAUAGAAUGAUUGGCGGAGGUCGUGGUAAAGGAGCCAUCUAGAGGUCGUAGGUUUCUCGGCUUGGAGAAUUUGGUGACAAGAACAACCAGACAAUUGUUAUUGGCGAGGUGAACUACUGGAUGUUGUCUUUUAGCGACGGAUAACCGGUGUGAUCACGGGCGAAGUAGGGCGACAUAGUCAUCUCCAGAUGAGCUUAUUUCCCUUCUCGAAAGCUAUUGGGUAGCGGAAAUCGAUUCCUUAUCACAUGGGCUCCGCAAAGAAAUGAUACUUUUCACCUACCAAAUCUGCUUUCCCCAUUCAAAGCCGUUAUAGUCUAAAAGGAGAGAGAAUUUCAAACUUCCCCCAAAUUCUUCCCCUUCCCUCUUCUCUCUUCUUGUGUGGUGAGCCGGUGAGCCUUUUCGUCUCUGCUGGUUGGCUCUGAGUCCCCUCUUCAUCUUCCCUCCCCUCUUCUCGCUCAAACUAGUCAAUUUGAAACAUUAUAGCCUAGAAUCCUAAAUCAAUGAUAUGACCUCAAGCGUUCCAAACAUGGCGAGCUUAAGCCUGGCCCAAGCACUUCAGCCUGAAGCAAUAAAGGCCUCCAAACCAAAGAAAAAGGUUGGUGGUGUGUUUGCUGCGAAACCGCUGACUGAACCACCCCACAACAAAACCUGUCAAACCGAAAUGUUUUUGGGGUUUUGCAGUUUGGUCGUUAGUUUCUGUGGGAGGAUAAAUAUUCUUCAAAACCGCUCUUGUUGGGACGGUUGACGGUUUUGGCCAAUCGAGGCCACCCCCGACCUGUGCUCAAGCCCUGGUGGCCGUGUAUGCUGCUGGUCAUUGUGUUUUCCCCAAAAUUCCACCAUUUUUUUUUUUUUUUUUUUUUGAGGGUUCCGGUUUGGGAUGUGACAUUUGCAACCAACCUCCCUCCUUUAUCCCCUUCCACCAAGAUGACGUCCAUUCCACAAGUAUAAUUGCCAUCUUUCCAACAAUGAUUUUAAUGUCCUAUCUUUUGGAAAUCCAAAGUAUAAUUGUUAUUUUAUGUUCCUACUGGGAAGAUAUUCCAAACUUUGCAAUAGGGCCCAUGCUGCUAAAAACUAAAAGGCAUGGCCCGAAUGACUUUCUUAGUCACAUUAACAAAAAGUUAAUAGAAGACGUUCAUAUAACGUGAUUCAUUUUUGCAGUACAAAAUAAAAUGCUCUUAGAAUUGGGAGCAAUGAUUAUUCCGUGCCAGUCCAGUAUAGACAGAUGGGUCGUUGUGACUGCUACUCAAAUUGGACCGUUCAUCAUGGUCAUUACGAAUUGGGGUCAUUUGAUGCAGGAAAUCCUAAGAGGAAAUAGCUUGUGCUUUUCACAAAGAGAACUUGAUCAGAACCUUAUCAGAUGAUGAUAUAUGUACUUUGUUAAAUUGUGCAAGGAUGAUUUCCUUGAUGUUGUUUUUGCGAAUGUCAGGAAUGAGUGUUCGUUCUGUAUUUCAUUGAUUGAUGUGGAAUGGUGGUUUAUCUGGAAAUUCUCAUAUAAGACUAAUUUUCAUGUGUUUACUGUUGUCACAUGCCUGAGAAAGUUAGAAGUUAAGCCAACGACCAGCUAUCAUUUCCAAAAAUUGCAUAAAAAUUAACCUGCAUGCUAAAAUGGAAUUCAUCUUUGAACCCACCCAGAAACAACAAGAAAUGGUUCCUGGGAAAGUUAUGUUUUUCUUUUGUCUUUUUUUUUUAACCCCCUUAUAUUUGUUUUUUUUUUUUUUUUUUUCCUGUGCAGGGAGCCUCUGUCUCUUGUUAUCACCUCUUCACAAUCCAUCUUUUCAGCCACUAAUGAUUUGGCCAUUAGUGUGGUUGCAAAAGAAAAUGUUUGAAAUUGGAUUAGUAUCCUUUCGUGGCUUUUAUUGACCUGAAACAGUUUUGUGUAGAUGUAGACCACUCUCCAUUGAAUUGUCCUGACUGGGAAGUACACGCAGAAUGACGAUUUUGAUAGAUUGUGCUUCUUGCUGGUUGGGAGUUGCAACGAACAGGUAAGUUCUCUUCUUUAAAAUGUCGCAUGACUUAGCAAUUCUAGUGUUAAUGAAAUGAUAUAUCAUAUCUUGGUUGGGGGCGUCUAUUUUGUGUGUAGCUGAGGUGAGACGGAAAUACAGCUUUAUUUUCUUCUACAAAUGAUCUCAUACAUAUUAUAUUAUAUUUUGAGUUCUAUGUGCUUUCUAUUCUUGCAUGUUAUUCUCGAUUUCCUCCCUGGAAAUACCAUAGAUUCAAUUUUCUUAAAAGAACGCUCUCAUUAAUACUUGAGGUAACGCAUGAUCUGAACAUAUGAAAUAAUUAAUAAACUAUAAUUGUUUAACAAGUCAGGGCAGCAAUUAUCACCUAUCUUUCCUCCACUGUAAAAUGCUCUAGUUCAAUAUGAAAGUCAUGAUACAGAAAAGAGGGCCAUAAAGGUGGUAAUGGACAAGAUGCAUAAAACUAUGGCUCCACGGGCCGCUGUGUAACAGUAUACGAUCCUAUAUUGAUGCCAUUUGCAGUCAUCGUUAUCAGUGACUAGCUUGAUUUAUCUGAGCUUUGCAUGUGACUUGGCGAUUCUUCUAGAGCAAUCAAUGGAGAGCAUGGUAUGAUGGUGGUCCAAUCGUCUUUAAUCUCUGCGGCGCUGUCCGCUGCCAUAUAGUGAUUCAUAGUAUAGAAUGUGUUUUAAGUGAUCAUAAAUUUUGGAGUUUGUGCGAUCUCCCUGCAUAAAUAUGUUUUUUAUAUCGAUGACUAGUGGGAGCGAAUAGAAUGUCUUAACUGAAUCCUGAGCAGGGUGUCAUAGGAUACGAAUACUUACAGUUUGGUUGGGAGGAUAGUACGGUGGGAUAACUGGUCGGAGUAGGACUGAUGUCACUGAUUUGUAGCCUGACAACUUCACAAUUUGUGUCGAAGAAAAAGCAGAGAGAGACGGGGCGUGAUCGGAGAAUUUAGCUCGUCAGACUGCGAAAAUAGGAAAGCUUGCUUCUACUUCGUUCCAUUACCACACAAUUGCUGUGCCCAUACCUGCCACCAAUUAACAAAUUCUCAUCUUUCCCUCAUGGACGCGUCGCAGGAAGUUAUCAUCAUCACAGGAUCAUUAGAAAUAGUUAGGUCCAUUUGGAUGAGAUCAUGGAUUUUCAUUCAAAUGAAGGGGGGGGAUUUGAACAUAUUAUUUAUUGAGAAUGGCAUCAAUUUAUGAUAUUACACUGAGUUGGGAAGGCUUCUGCAUGCAUGAUGGAUUUGUAAGUCAAACUAUUUCUAAAAGAGUUGAUUUGUAAAUCUUCAUGGCUAAGAGAUGUUGUAAUGGGCUCUAUUAAAGACAAUUCCAUUCCGACUCGAAUCCGUCAUUCCUAUCUCUGAAUUUCACAAGCGCACUUAUCAGUCUAAAUCUCUAUUAUAUUUUUUGUUAAACUAAACACAAAAUCCCUUAGUUUGAAUAUCUUGCCCCCUCUUGUGUGUCUAGAUGGAGAGUUUUUCAUUUCUACGAUUUGCACAAAGCCUCUUGACUGUGGGCACACAUAGCUCUCUAUGUUGGUUAUUCUCUAAUAUUUCGGGGUAUACCUAGUCGCCGUAGUUCAGCCUUGGUAUAAUUUUAUGAAGAAUGACCUCAUAGGCAGGUGAUCAUAGUAAUUAGGCAACAUCACAAGAUGUGCAUUGUAGAGUAAGCUAUACAUCUCAUGCCGAGUCUGCGUUGCUUUGCUCUCUCUCGCCUGCUUUGCUUUUGAAGACCACCGGAAUACCGUUUGCAUUCAUGAUGAAUACGUUAUAGGUAUGGAGCAAACACUCGAUGGUUUCGUCCUGCUUCCAACCUUGGAACAGCAUCCAGUCGUGCUUGGAGUAGGCGCGCUUCUAGGCUGAUGCAAACUGCUGUAGUGGGCUCUUCCAGUCUUUGCUUCUUUAUGUGCAGUUGUCCUGGCUAAGGCAGUUGUCGUCUAAAGAUUGAUCCUAGUAGUUGAGUCCUCUAACCAGAAUAUGUCCGACUGUCCGUACAAAUAUCAUAUUCCAUCCAUCACUAAUAGGAAGUAAUUCAAUUUAACUUUAAAUGCCGUCACUUGUCAUUAAAUUCUCAUUUAUUUGGACGGCGCUUAUAUUUAGAUUACGUAUUUAUGGUUUAUAUUAUAUGGCUGAUUUGAAAUGUUACAAUGUUCUAGGAGGUUUUCCCUUUUUCUUCCGAUGGGCUUAUUUUUGCUGCUAUUAUUAAUUGUGUAUGUGCAACUUAACGCACUCGUGUCGCAAGUAUGGUUAGAUGGAUGAAUAUUUGACCAUUCCCUGGCAGGGGUCGAGGGAAAGUAGUUCGCCCUUUGAAAAUCUCGGGAGACCCUUGUUGAUUGCCUUCUCCUUCAGAUCCCCUUCUCUUCUCACCAGAAGCCAAUGGGCGCGAUGAAGUCAAAACUAGUGUCCUUCAUCGAUAUGGGCUUACCCGAAAACCGAUCAUUUGUUUCCCAAAUAGCCCAUGAUUACGGGCACAAGCAACCGAACAAACUUUCACGCUCGAUACCCAUCCUCCGGUGCGUAGCGAGGGUCCUCUUCAUUCCACACACUUAUGUACACUCUCCAACUCAUCUUCUUGCUUGGCCAAUGUGGGCUUGUCCCGCACCUGUCAUUGACUGCUGCUUUCUGGUCUUUGCUCGCUGUCUCCUGGCUGGAGAGGCAGUUCGGCUCGGCUAACACUGUUCGUCUUCUCUCAGGAUUGGUCCUCUUUGUAUAGUGAUGUUGUCACUCGUAAUUGAUUCAUACUAUAUGGUGCUUUGCAACCAACGGGCAACCAGCGUAUUUGGUCGUAAGCGUCUUACCCAAUAAAGCUAGGUUCCAGUUUGUGCUUCUUUGGAGUUCCUCUGCUGCCUAUUACAUGUUUCUAGCUAUUUAGAGGAAGGCAUAUCUCUGAAAUCCUGUUAAAAAAAUAAAAAAUUGCUUUUUUGAAUUACAAUUUUUUUUUCGAUUUAAGCAAAGAGGAUUAUGGAAUUUUUUUUGUUGAUAUCAAUAUCCGUAUGUAGCCCGAGAACAUAUGUCGGCUGCAGAUCUGGUAUUUAACGCAUUCGUGUCCAGUUCAGCACAAUUCGACAGCCAAACUCCCGGCAACCGGUUGAUCUCCGUUCAGCGACGUUCCAAGUACGCCACCGCCACAAAGACUCUGGAAUAUCUACAAGAUACAUACAUCGAACUCCUGCAGAACCGAGUUCAAUUCAUCGGCCUGACUAAUUUUUUUUUUUAAUAACUGUUUCGGCCCGGCCAGUAAUUCAGAGGUAGUAAUCCGCCACGCGUUACUAAGGGCUCCAAAAUAAACACUGGAGGCUCAAACUCUGUAUAGACUCCGGGGCCAAUUUAGAACUUGACAGCAGAGCCUAAGCGAACUUUCAUAAGUGCAUGUAGAUCUUGAUAUAGGUAGCAUAACUCGCAAGUCCCGAGCUUAAACCUACUAUGGGUAUGGGCCGCCCCUCACAGGCAAUUAUCCUGAUUGUCUCAAUUCAAUUUUUUACAGUAUUCCUCUAAAACCCUCUCCCUAUAAUUCAUUGGUGAGCAAGGGUGGCACGACGAUUCAUUUUCCGCCUUCAAGAUCAUAAAAUCAAAUCAACUCAAUCAAACCUGGGUCGGCGCCAAUCUGAUCCUGCAAUUUCCUUGUAAGGAAAACACUUAUAAAAACAAUCUCUGACAUGUACAAUAAUGAAGCAAACGAAAGAAGAAUAGAUUUGUGCUCAAAACCUGUAGCUUUAUUAAUCACUCUCGAUUACAACACGUUUUUCCGAUCUCCAUUUCGUGCUUCCAUUGAUCCUCUUAAAAACUUUAAAAAACGGCAAGUGCCAGAACGGCUACGCACUUCCUUGACGGGUUGUAGUUCCUCCGUUAUCCCUAAAUGGCCAGAAGAAAGAUCAUAGAUCCCAUGCCAACCUAUAGAGCGAGAAGUAGAAUAAUCUGUGGGAGUCAUUGGGAUUAUUCCUUACAGUACGUGCUGGUUUACCUAACAGUUCUCAGUCAAUGGCCGGCUGUCUAGGUUUUUGGGUGUAAAGGGUGUGCAUUGCUUUGGUCGCAUCAGAUGUCAGAAAAGAUUGUGGCCUCUCCGUGGGGUUGCAUCAUUUGGCAUAUAAUGUCAGUGAAAUUUGGUUGUGUUGGUUGUGCUGAUGCACGUACUUCACCGUUGGAUUUCACAUGAAAGUUGGGUGAUUUAUCGUAAUGACAGAUAUACUUACGCGCCAUCCCUGAACCUAUUGCAUAGUUUUUUUUUUUGUUGCGCUUACGAACCGCAUGCUGCACUAGAAGAUUGCUAAGCCGUACCCCCUGUGAAGUAUCUUUCGGUAAUCCACUAUAUUUCUUUGUCGCACAAGCGAUUUGUGAAUCAUUCAUGUGAUAUGGCGGCGUGAUCAUUAAUAGGAGAAUGUCCCUAAAAUAGGUCUCAAUGUUGACAAAAAUGAAUUUAUGACAUAAAAAUCUGUGGUCAAAGAUAAACAUAACGUAUAUUUUUUGUAUAUGGAAUACGUGUGAUGUGUGUUUAUAAUAUAUACAUUGCACAGAUCGAUUUAGAAUUCAAUUGGCCUUUCCAAUAACUAAUUCUUUACUAUUGUUAUUGUUUUUUUUUUUUGUUUUUUCUUUUAAGAAACAAGGUAUUAGGAAAACUGUUGGUGGUAAAAAACCGAUAGUAAAACCUUAGUGCUGUGACUUUUUUUAGUGACUAGAUAGAGAUCAUAGAGUAGUUUAGGUUGAAGCAGUUGAUGAAAUGAUGGGGUUGUGGAGGUUUGGGUGUGUUCAAAGGCAUCCAUUACUUUUGUAUAAAAGAAUUUAAAGUAGGGGGCAAAUGAAUAAUUUUGUCUUUUGAAUUUGUGAUAUUUUUGAUUAUAGUUUUUUUUUAGUUCAGUUCAGGCCGGGGUAAGUGACAUGAAUCAUGAUUUAAGGAAUAUAAAGUGUAAUACUCUAUCAUAUUGCAUAUCAUACAGCUGAAGGCCAAAUCAUCCUUAUAAUACUAUGUGGUUUAGGCAGAAUAGUGCCUACCCGUAAAGGCAAUUAUGACAAAUAUUGGAAAUUAUAAUCAUCAUAAAAUUUCAGCCAUCUGUUCUUAUAAUCCCAUCAUCAACAAUAGGAAAGAUCCUUACAAGCAUGUUUGGGAAUGCUUCAUGUCCGCUAUGAUUAAAGAUAUGUCUUGUUCUUGCUGGGGCAAAAGUUUGUUGUAUUGCCGAAAAUUUAGUAAGACAAUCUUUAUAAUUUGCAGCAAAAAUUAUCUUGUCAAACAUGUUAUAUUUUUGAUAUUUGAAUAUUAUCUACUGAUUUUUGAUCACAGUUGACAUUGCCAUCAUGGCAAUAAGAUUAAUUACAUUUUUUUAGUAUUUUGUGAAGCAGCCACUGCCACCUAAUUAAAAAUAACAUUUUACUUUGCUAAAAUAGGGCAUCAACAUUGGAAAAUUACUCUUAACAAUUAGACAGUGCCACAUUUCUUGCCAUAUCAUUAGUCUAAGUUUCUAAUAUGUUUGCUGGAUGCCCUUCUCAAGAGUAACUUGAUGUCAUCUUUAACCAAUCACAUUAAUAUACUUAAUCCUGACUUUCUAGUGUUCUUUUAGCAUUUAUAGAAGAUGCCGCUUACGCUGAUUAAAAGUAUCUUACUAAUACGUCUAAAAGGUGCAUAAUUUGACCUUUUCCAUUAUGGCCGGCAACAUUAAGGUAACUGGCCAAGUGUAGGCGGCGGCGUUUAAAUUUAUUAUAGCAUUAGCGCACAAGCCAUGUUUUGGGAUUCAUAAGCUGAUAGACUAAACUUUAGAAUAAAGUUGUUAAAAUCGGGUCUACUUUUUGAUCUAAUCUAGGAUGAUCUGAAUUGUUCCUUUUAAUAAAUUUAAUUAAAAAGAUCAAUUUAGACAAACAAAAAUAAGUGUGUCCAGAGUAUGCAGUAGUUACAUAUCAAAUCACAUUUGUGCUAAAUAAUUAACGGAAUAUUUUUAAAAAAAAUUCCUUGGGCUAGUUACGGCCCAUACUAAAAAUGACGUCUAAUUAUCAUGAAUGGGUUUCUAUAGAUAAAUAGUUUCGAAUUCAUCAAUGUAAGUUUAAAGGUUGGUCCACAAUUUAACCGAUUUUAUAAUUAUGACUGUGCCUAGGCUUUCUCUAAUAGUCCAAAUGGAUUACAACCCAAUGCAAUGCAAAAGGCAUUUUUUAGUCUAUUUUGUUGAUCUAAAGCUAUUGAAAUUGUAGACUACUAUGUAAGGUUGUACUGAGUCGAAAUUAAGUUGAUUGAGGCAUGUGGUUCAUAUUUUUCUUUCUUCAUUUUGGCUAAUAUGCAAUGUAAUAAGAGUAAUUAACACUUUAUUAUAUUUCGGCGCUUAAACUAUUGUUCAAUGUGCUUUUUGCAUGCAUAUAAUCGUAAGACUAUCAUUAACGUAUUAAAGGUUCAAUCAAAUUAUGCUGCUAUUAUGUGAAUGGUUUUGAAUUAUCAAAAUUAACUUUAUAAAUAAGAAUAAAAAAUAGCUUGGACUGGUCAACAUGAUCUGUGAUGGCGUUAUCAUCGGCACGAGCAAUCGUUCUGGGUGGUUCGCAAAUCCGCUCAAAUGAAUACUUAGAUCGUAAUCAAUAGCAUUCUGUGGGGUCAAUGGGGCUAAUACAAUCGUAAGAUGUAAUUAUAAACGCCGUCAUGCAGUCAGGCAAUAUGCAGUAGCUUUCUUCAAUGGUGUGACAUUUAUAACAAGGAGAUAUGGAGAUUGCGUCCUUGGGAGAUAUCUAUGUCCUCAUCAAUAUCGUAUAAUGACAAUGCUUGUACGUUUACUUCCCUUGCUGCUUUCAUCUUGGGCAGGCUGUUCGCUGCGCACAAUCACUCCACACUCAGUGAAGACUUUUUCUCAUCAAACGCUAGCCAAGUAGCCCACCAUGGCUGUCCUCUUGGGCUAGUCAGAAUAUUUUGUUUUGGGAAAAAAUAUAAUUUUAAUUAAAUUUCUGGCCGUUGGAUUUAAUUCAAAUUAAUUUUAUACAUGUAAAUUUCACACUUCAAUGAAUAGAUUACAGAUUCAAAUUGAGUCUGUGAUUUAUAAUUAUAAUAGUUAGUUUGAAAAUUUAAAAAUAUAUUGGCGUGGCUUUUUAUUAUAUAUUUUUUGUCCUUAUUAAAAUGUUAAAUUUUAUUUAAAUAUUAUUUUUACUUAAAUAUUUUAUUAAAAUCUUGGGAUAAUAAUUUCAUAUAAAUAUAAAUAAAAAUGACGUAUGACAAUAAUUUUAUUUCCAUUUGAAGUAAUUUUGUAUCUGCUUUAUUUUCAUUCAGAUCACAUACCCUUUAAUUGUUUUUAGUGAAUUUUUUUCAAAUCGAUUAAUCAUUUUACUAUUUUUUUCUUUCGAUUUCUCUCUAUGAAAAGAGCUUAUAAAAUAUACAUAAUAUAUAAUUUAGUAAGAGAAGUUUACUAAAAAACUAUAAAAAAAUAUUAUUUCCUGCUCCAAAUUAAUUAUUUUUUUAUAUUUUUAGUGUUCUCAUCAUCAAAAUAACUAAAAAUAAUUUUAAAAAAUUGAGAUCAGAAUAGUAAAAAAAAUAUAUUAGAUAACAAAAAGCAAAAAUCAGAGAAAGAGAUAAAGGUGUUUUAACAUUUUUUAAAUUGUGGGCCUCCACUUUAAAAAUGAACCCUAAUAAUAAAUAUAUGGCUAUUUUUAAAGGUUUUGUGUGCGCAUUGAAUAAGAGUUUCUGUGGUUCUCACACAAAGCCUUUUGGGGAGAAGGGAAGUUAUAGGUUUUUGGACAUAAAAAAAAUAUUUUCAAGUAAAUUUCAGUCCUGUUAGAUUAAUCUCAGUAAUGGUUUCCAAUCGUGUCUAGUGAGAGAUAGAUUUGAAUUUUCAAAAUAACUUGUGAUUUUAUAAUCUAUAUUGAGACUGUACUUGAAAUUAAUAAUUUUUUUUUUUAAGAAAAUUAUAAUCUUUUAAAACCGUAGUCAAUACAUAUAAGUAAAUUCAUAUAUAUCUAGAACAUAACUUUUUAUCAAUAUUCAUCGCAAAAAAAAUUAUAUAUUUUUUCUAUAAUUUUUUGAUAUAAAAAUUCAUAAGUGAAGUAAAAAAAAAUCAAGGGUAUAAAUGGAUAAUACAUUGUACCUCGUCCUGAGAUUUCAAGUUAAUGCCAAACGUUUGAAAAUAGCACUGACCGUGCAUUCUCGUCCCUCUGAGUGUUUUAAGUUAAUCAUCAAGCAAUCCUCCUUCCAGUUCAAGUGGCGAAAUUUGUCCGCCUGCCCUUGUAAAAUUACUAUUUUGCCCUCAACACCUAUGGACAAUAUACUAUAUUGUCAGUGUCAUUGCCCUCCAUCUCUCCAUCCUCUCUGCUCUUCUCUCUCCUCGUUAACUUUUUUUAAGUUUUGUUUCUCUUUUUAAUAAUUUUAUAUUUUUUUUUAAUAAUUAUAUAUUUUUUUUUAUUAAAUCUUUUUUUUAUUAGUUUCUUUAUUUUUUUUGGGGGGAAACAUAAGUUUUUUUGUUGAAAAUUUACCUAUUUUAACCUUUUUUUUUCCUUUUUUAACAUCCAAUUAAAAAAAGGGUAAAUUAUGCUAACCACCCCUGAGAUUUGAGUUUAAUACACAAACAUAGUUUAUAUUAUUAUUUUACUAAUUCAAUUUUAAAUACUUUGUUUUAGAUAAACUAGUUUUUAUUUUUUAAAAAAAAUAGCUAUUUGAUUUUUUAUUUUAGUGAAUUAUUUUUAAACUAUUUUGAUAAAAAUAGUUUGAGAUGAGACAAUUCGUAAUAAAAGUAUAUAUAUAUUGAUUGGUACUACCAUAGAGGAAGUGAAAAUGAAAAUUUAUUAAGUGGCAAAA
rnacentral:lncRNA from 1 species